AAAACAACUAUAUCUCGGAAUACGAACGCUUGUUAGCAAUGUGCAGCCGAAGUUAUUUUAGUGUUCUUAUCACGUGCAUUUGUUUUCUUACUUUCUUAUCUUCGUAUGGACAAACAUUUGCUGAUUCUUCUUACAAAGUGAGGAGAGCGAAGCAAUGCUUGGACAUGGCCAUCGGAUUCGAAACAUGCAAUUACGUCAGGAAGUAUCUUUAUAGAGACAUACCAAAUGCAUUUUGCGUUCAUUACAAACGUGAAUGCUGCAUGACAUGCAUGAAGGAAAAGACGACACGAAUGAUAAAAAGUGCCUUAUCACGAAUCAGGAAACAAGGUAAUGUGAAAGAGAAGAGCAACGUUUAAGACUUACCACCAAACAACUAGAUCAUUUCCUAAAUGCUGAUGGUUUCAGGAUUGAACAAGAAAUUUUAUACUCUCGUGGAUUGUUGCUGAGGACACCAUACAGUUCAUAGUUGACAAUAAAUAAUAUGAUAAUUCAGAUGACUGUAAACGUAUAUUUAGCAUGUAUAUAACAUGUACGUAACAUGUGUUAUAAAACCUGUGGGGUUCUUCUGUGUGUUCGGCUUAGGGGACAUUUGGUGUGCUGGCUUACAGCAUCACUUGGAACCUGUAGCUUUUUCUCUCCAUCCUACUAUAUCGUCUAUCUAUUGGAUGGUCGGGUUGUGCAGUGGAUAGCGCACUUGCCUUUCACCAGGGCGGACGGGGUUCGAUUCCCCGGUCGGACGUGAAAAGGUAUGAUGUCACCUGCCCGACCAUGUGGGUUUUCUCCGGGUAAUCCGGGAUCCUUCCUCAAUAAGACUCACCAGAAGUUAAAAUAACUUGUUACAGGAUUGUUGUAAACAAAAUAAAGUUUAUAUUCUC